GACGAACGCUGGCGGCGUGCUUAACACAUGCAAGUCGAGCGGUAAGGCCCUUUCGGGGGUACGACGAGCGGCGAACGGGUGAGUAACACGUGGGUGACCUGCCCUCAGCUCUGGGAUAAGCCUGGGAAACCGGGUCUAAUACCGGAUAUGACUCCAUGACGCAUGUUGUGGGGUGGAAAGCCUUGUGCGGCUGAGGAUGGGCCCGCGGCCUAUCAGCUUGUUGGUGGGGUGAUGGCCUACCAAGGCGACGACGGGUAGCCGGCCUGAGAGGCGACCGCCACACUGGGACUGAGACACGGCCCAGACUCCUACGGGAGGCAGCAGUGGGGAAUCUUGCGCAAUGGGCGAAAGCCUGACGCAGCGACGCCGCGUGAGGGAUGACGGCCU
rnacentral:rRNA from 1 species